AAAAUCAUGGCUAUGUCAACUUUUACCUUCAAUAAAAUAGCCAUAAGAGUAGUUAAUAGUAGAGAUAAAUGCAUCAUAUAAUUGGAGUCUGCUUUAGCAGUUUGGAUGGAAGACUGCCUUGAUUUUUUUUACUCUAACAUGAUGAGAGACUAAGUUAUCUACAACAUCCUGGCAGAUGAUAAUGGGCAGAAAGGCUUGGAAGAGGUCAGUAACAAGGUUAAACAUCCCAACCUUGAACAUCACAAUUUCUCCCUCCUGCAAGAUUGAUUUUAUUGCAAGCAAGUGGUGAUUAGAAACAUUUCAUGGGUGCUUGGCCAUUAGGAGCAUGUAAUUUUAUCUACACAUUCUGCCUCUGCUGAUGAAAAUGCAGCAAAGGUAGCUGAAGUAUUACACAAUUAAAAAGUAUUCUCAGUGCAAGAAAUCCUGUUUUUGGCUGCAAAUAAGGCUGUGUUCCUUGCAAAAGUCCUAAUGAGUAUGAAUUUUAAUGAUAUGACUUCCCUUCUUCAUUUCCUCCAAUCUCCUUCCCAAGUGCUUUCAAGGGUGGUGAAUUUAAAGGGCCCAGACGUUUGAAUGACAGUUUUACAUUGUUAGUCACUUGCAACACUGGUGAGAACAUGCGGUUCUCUCAAAAGCAACAUAAAAAUCCGAGACUGAUUCUCUCAGCAAGACGUAUAAAUAAAGGACUACAAUUAAAAAGAUGGAGGAAGCAGCAAAAGCUUCUGAAGCAACAAGCAGAGGCUAAUUUUGUUGCAGUCGAGAUAAAGGAAGAACCAAUUGAUACUGAGGAAGCAGUCCAAAUUGAGGGAACAAUUAAAACUGAAGAAAUAAUUAAAACUGAAGAAACAUUUGCCACAGAAGAAACACUUGCCACUGAAGAAACAGUUGCCACCUUUGAAACAGUUGCCCCUGAAGAAACAGGACUUGCCUCUGAUUUUGAAGUUGCAGCAUCCAGCAGGCAAUUAGCCAAUGUUCCAAAUGAUUACUCCAACAUGGAUUUUCCCAUUGCUAAUGAAGCACACUUAGCAGCAUUUCAAAUGUCGAUUUCUGCAUUGCAUGGAAAAAGAGUUGUAGAUUUGCAAACACUUUUUUCAGACAUUUGUCUGAUGUCACUACACAACACUGGCAUUUGUUCAUUCUACAAUUUCUUUUUUGUGAGAGAAGUUGAUUCUGGAUCAAUCCUGAGCUUAGAAUUUGAGUGCAGCAAGUGUAAAAUGACGAUGUAUGUUAGAACAGCAGAACAAAAGUAGGGACAACUUUUGAUGUUACUGCCAUUUUGCCCAUAUUGUGCAUCUACAGAAUAUUUUUGAUACUUAGAAUUAUUUUCUUUGCCCUGUAUGCCAGUUGUAUUCUUAAGUAUUACUCAUGGUCAGUUUCAGUAGCAUUUAAUUAAAUGAAUUAGGCUGUUUCUGUGUAGCUGUGGUUUAAUCUAGCUAAUGAUAUUAUAUGUGUUCCAAGUCUUGCCAGUUACACAUAUUGCAACUUUCAACUGUGCAUGUUAUAAGAUCAUUGGUUGUAAGCAACAAUUAUGUUUGAACUGCCUUAGUGAUUUUAUACAAACAUAAAUGUUUUCUGUAGGGUAAAACUUUUUACUAAUUUCGCGGGAUCCAUUAAAUGUAACAUUUUAGUAACAGGAUCAACUGUACACUUCAACAUGGUUUAGAGUAUUUUUAUUUGUAACUUCGUCAUGCUACAUCAGUUUUGAGCCUUUAUAAGAAAGUUAUAGUUUCAGGCAAUCAGGCUAAUGUCAAUCAGUAAUUAUUUGUUAAUGGUGUGUUCUUUGCUUGAUCAGUUCCUCCCCAAAAUCCACUCUUUAGGGUUCAUUUAGUUCCUAGUGUACUAUUAAUUGCCUAAUUUAGUUAUCUCAUUUUUUUACAUCAGGUACAGUUAGACAAAUAAGGGACAUGAUAAUGAUAUUAUUAAUAUUAAUUACAGGAUUUCAACAACUCUAUACCAAUCUGUUGCAUACCUCAUAGGGAAUAUACAGUAGAUGCAUCCAAUGGCAACUAUUUAUUGCACUCUCUACUGUAUUUCCUCACAAAAGUAAAGCAUGGAAAAUAUAAGAAAAUAAAGAAGGCCUAAAUUUGUUAUUGUCAUGUAUUACACAAUUAUCUUACAAUGAUUAUCAGAUUUUUUCCAUCUUUCUUUUCCAUAAGUAUAUACUUACAUUUCUUUAUGAAUCCAAUUGACCUAUGUGAAAAUAAAAAUUGGCCCAUAUACAGUUCUCUAAUUUUUUUUAUU